rnacentral:rRNA from 1 species
UACGGAGGGUGCAAACGUUGCUCGGAAUCAUUGGGCGUAAAGCGCACGUAGGCGGUCCGGCAAGUCGGGUGUGAAAGCCCUCGGCUUAACCGAGGAAGUGCAUUCGAAACUACCGGACUUGAAUACUGGAGAGGGUCGCGGAAUUCCGGGUGUAGCGGUGGAAUGCGUAGAGAUCCGGAAGAACACCAGUGGCGAAGGCGGUCUGCUGGGCGGUGGGAGCGCAAGCUCCUCUUAGCCGACACUGAGGCGCGACAGCGUGGGGAGCAAACAGG